AGGUUUGUAUUGUCAUUUCUUCAUCCUUUUUUAUUAAGUUUACUGAAUUAAUUAUGAUCAUUAUUAUAUUUAUGUAUUGUCACUGGGAAAUGUAAAUUGAUAAGUUAAUGUAUUGCAACUUAAAGGAAAAACAACACAAUUUGAUGCAAAAAUAGAUGAACAUACACAUGACAAAGUGUAAAUGUUGUGUACAGUGAAUUAUUGUGGUUGUGUUUUAUGAUUAUUUUCAUCUUUAUUGUUAUUUAUAGAUAUUUCUGGUUAUUACUGAACAGAUUUCUUUCCCUCAUAUUUUAAUUUUGAAGGUUAAACUCUUGCCCCAAGAGCAAAAGGGGUAAUCAUACUACCUGAUGUAUGGACUUUUACACCAGGCUUUUACCCUGCACGAGCUGGCCAACUUGAGGGGAACUGAAGUGGGCAAACCUCGCCCUGUCCUUGAACAAGAAAGCUGGAUUUGUUGAGAGAGUAUCAUUUAAGCUGAAAUCCAGCAUGAAACCAGGGAGGUGAUGGCCAUCGCACAGGCCAUGUGCCGACUAUUCACUUUCCACCAGCUUGUGACUUGCUCCAUGAAGGGAGCAACAACUACAACUGGAUCACCAAGACCAAGCCUCCCCGCUGCUGAGAGAAAUGCAAUCAUUGAUGUCAUAGCCAAAACCGUUGACAAGCCUCUGGUUGAUGUUGAAGAAAAGAUGAGAGGUUGUUUAAGGCAUCUGCGGCUGAUGAACAACUAGACUGAAGUCUUUGUAAAUAAAAUGUGCUGUUAAAAUGAUUAUUUAACCAUUGUUUUCACUUUGUUAUAUAGAUUUGCACCUGUUUCAACAACAUUAACUUAUUUUUAUGCUCCCGGUAGGGUCUCAUAUAGCAGUUGAUCUGUCUGAUCCUUAAUCUGUCUGUCUUUCCGUCCGAAAACUUAGCAUUGGUCAUAACUUUUGCAAUAUUGAAGAAAGCAACUUGAUAUUUAGCAUGCAUGAGUAUCUCAUUGAGCUGCACAUUUUGAGUGGUGCAAGGUCACGUUCAUCCUUCAAGGUCAGAGGUCAAAAUCCAAUGUAAGUAAUAAGCAAAGAGAGAAAAUUUCUAUACCUGCCAAAUGAUAAAUAGAAAUUUUAUUUCAAAGCGGCGCAGUAGGGGGCAUUGUGUUUCUGACCAACACAUCUCUUGUUUGUAUUUAUUCCAUACAAUCUUACUUUUUUCAGUUCUUUCUUUGUGUUCAAUGUUAUGUUAUAACACUAUUAUAUUUUAUUAUAACAAUGCCAUGUCUGUCAAAAUAGUUUUAUCAUGUUGUGUAUAUGGAUAUAUAUGUAAAGUUUUAUGUUUUAGCGUUUAAAAAAGUAAUUAGAAUAUAAUUUAUGAUAUUUUUGUUCAUAAUAAAGUUGUUCAGUUUUCAAGUGGGUGAAAAGUGGGUUUUUACUGAGCAUUUAACAGGUUUUAAAGCUAGUUUUAACUGCGUUUAAUCUGUGAAAAACACACAUUUAGCUCACUUAAUGCUCAAAUAAAAACCCACUUUAAACUCGCUUACAACAGGAAAAACCGACUUGAUGUGUAGAAGCGGGUGUAAAAGCCAACAUAAAGAAGGAAAACACACUAUCUUUUAACCAACUUAAGUUGGUAAAACUCGGUUUUAAAGCGUGUUUUAACUGCGUUUAAUCUGAGUUAAGCACACAUUUAGCUCACUUAACACUCAAACAAAUCCCCACUUCUAACUCGCUUAAGAACAGGAAAAACCGACUUGAUAUGAAGAAGCAGGUUUAAAAGCCAACAUAAAGAAGGAAAACACACUCACUUUAACCAACUUAAGUUGGUAUAAGACGGUUUUAAAGUAAGUUUAAACUGCGCUUAAUCUGUGAAAAGCACACAUUUAGCUCACUUAACGCUCAAACAAAAACCCACUUUUCACUCGCUUUAGAACAGGAAAAACCGACUUGAUGUGUAGAAGCGGGUUUAAAAGCCAACAAAGAGAAGGAAAACACACUCACUUUUAACCCACUUAAGUUGGUUUAAGUUAGUUUUAGUUGGUAUAAGAAGGUAUAAGCGUGUUGGUUUAUGUGAGUGAAAUCCAGGUUUUACCUACAAAAAACCAAGUCGGUAAGCAAAAAGUGUGUUUAAAAGACACGCUUUAACCCGGUGCCAAUACCGCAGGGUUUAACACGGUUUUAACACGGAUUAAAACCGGGUUUUGCCCACUUUUUUGACAAGGGGAAGCU